GAGUCUACUACUGAAAGUGAACCUCUUGAGGUGAUGAUGAAAGAUCAGUUUGCAAACUAUGUGGCGCAGAAGGUGUUGGAGACUUGUGAUGACCAGCAGAGAGAGAUGAUCCUUACAAGGAUCAAAGCUCACCUGAACACACUGAAGAAGUACACCUAUGGGAAGCACAUAGUCGUGCGUGUAGAGAAGCUAGUUGCUGCUGGAGAGAAGCGCCAGGGGCUUCAACCAGCAUGCACCGCCGCCUGAAGGGUGGAACUAUGCAGUUGUACAGCUAACAGUGGCUAGGUUUGCGCUCGCGUGUUCCCCCCAACAACUGAAAACCCUAUAAGAUUGACUAGUAAUGGUACCGGCAUGAAUAAGAUACAAAUCUUGGUUGCACUGGAGAGAGUGUACAUUCUGUAGCUGAGGAGGCAAAGACUAAUCUGAGAGACUAAGCUGUAAAGAAGAGGAAGAGGGUGGAGUAUGUUUGAACAUGUUACUCUGCUCACUGUACAAAUUUAGCACUAGAGAAGAGAAGAGAGUGAGAAAGCUGUUAGCUGUCGUAAAAAUGUCCGAGUUGAGAGCCGCUGCGACUACUUUUUUAGUUAUCCUGUUGUGUGUCUCGUGUCGAUAGAAGCAAACAAACCAUGAUGAUGGCUUGCUGUUGUUGUAAGAUAAAACUCUUUUCCGCAGUUUAAGCUGAAGUUAUUAGUAUCAGCUUUGCUGAACUGUUGAACAGUUUGGUGUAUUAAUGGAGUGUGUCCGUCUGUAAUCUAAUCCAGGAUGAUGAAAUGCAUGACUCAGUAGUUUAUGUUCCUACAAGUUUUUCUUUCACCCAGAUUCUUGGUGUUUGGUAUUUACUGCCAAGCGUAGCUCAGAUUUGUAGGAUCUGAAGAACACUGGUGUGCUGUAAUGCUAGUUUUAUCAUCAAGUUUGAUUA